GUCGAGUCUGUUUUGCCUGUGACAGUAAUUGGAAGAUAAACCAGUGAGUGGAGAAACAACUACAGAAGUGGAAGAGGCAGUAAUUCCCUUUGUCUGGGCUGGAGAAGUACCUGGAAGGUCGAAAAGAGCUGAUCCUAUAAGAAUAGAUUUUAAAGCCAGAAUCGCCACUGGUAAGGUUGAAACAGUACCCUAUGAAAAUUGAAGCUAAACUGGGAUUAUUACCAUUGAUACAAAAGUUUUUAAAAUAUGGAUUAUUAAAGGAGUGUGAGUCUAAGUGUAACACCCCAAUUCUGCCAGUGAAAAAGGUAGAUGGAAAAACGUACAGAUUAGUUCAGGAUUUAAGGUCUAUCAAUCAAAUAGUGCAGGAUAUAUGGUUGCAAAUCCAUAUACCUUACUGACAACCCUGACGGAAAAGCAGGGUUAGUUUGCAGUAUUGGAUUUAAAAGAUGCCUUUUUUCUGCAUCCCGCUUGCCUUUGAAAGUCAGGAGAUGUUUGUUUUUGAGUGGGAAAAUCCAGAGACGGGAAGGCAAACUCAAUAUACCUGGACUGUACUGCCACAGGGGUUUAAAAAUAGCCCCACUAUUUUUGGAAAUCAGCUUGCUAAAGAACUCAAAAUUUGUCAAACUGAAAACAGAGAGGGUGUUAUGUUACAAUAUGUAGAUGAUAUUCUAUUGGCAGGAGAAACUCCUGAAGAAUGUUUGAAAUUAACUAUAAGUCUUCUGAACUUUCUUGGAAUUAGUGGUUAUCGAGUGUCAAAGGAGAAGGCCCAGAUAGCUCAAGAAACUGUGAUGUACCUGGGCUUUGAAGUCCUUAAAGGUCACUGACAACUAUCUGCGGAAAGGAAAGAAGCUAUUUGUUGACUUCCAGAGCCAAGCACGCUUCGAGAGCUGCAAACCUGCUUAGGAAUGACAGGAUGGUGUCGUCUGUGGAUUGAUGAGUAUAGGCUAUUGGUGAAACCAUUAUAUGAGAUACUGAAAACCUCCUCAAAUAAUUGUUUAAAAUGGACUGAGGAAGGAAGAGCUGCUUUCAAAAAUCUUAAACAAGCAUUACUGAGAGCACCUGCGCUUGCAUUACCCAAUUUGGUGAAACCUUUUGAGUUAUUUGUCCAUGAACGAAGAGGAAUAGCACUGGGAGUACUUACCCAAUUUCUUGGACUUUUGGGUCGAGCAGUAGCAUAUUUCUCUAAGGAAUUAGAUAUUGUAAGUCAAGGAUGGCCUGGCUGCCUAAAAGCUGUUGCACCUACUGUGAUGUUAAUACAGGAAGCUCGGAAGUUUACCCUGGGUCAGAAGAUUACUGUAUAUGUACCACAUAUGGUAAUCACAGUAUUAGAACAAAAAGGGGGACAUUGCUUAGCUCCAAGCCGAAUGAUAAAAUACAAGUGAUUCUGCUAGAGCAAGAUGAUACACAGCUUAAGACAACAAUGGUUGUGAAUCCUGCUACUUUCCUAGCGACAGAACAGGCGGAAGAGAAUCCAGAACAUGACUGUUUACAAACCAUAGAGGAAGUGUAUGCCAGCAGGUCAGACUUAAAAGACACUCCCCUUGAAAAUCCAGACUUAGAAUUAUAUACUGAUGGGAGUAGUUUUGUUCAAAAUGGAAAGCGAGUGUCUGGAUAUGCACUAACAACAAUAGCUGAAGUAGUGGAAGCAUGAGGCCUAUCAUCAAAAGUAUCUGCACAAAAAGCUGAAAUAAUUGCUCUCACUAGAGCUUUGGACUCGAGUAAAGGGAAACGUGUAAAUAUAUGGACAGACUCAAAAUAUGUAUUUGGAGUGAUACAUGCCCAUGGGGCUAUAUGUUAGAAGAGAGGCCUAUUGACUACACAAGGAACAACAAUAAAGCAUAAAGAAGAGAUCUUGAAACUUUUAGAAAGUAUCCAAGCUCCUGCUGAAGUAGCUGUAAUGUAUUGCAAAGCCCACCAGUCUGGAUCAACCACUCAAAGUCAGGGAAAUAAACUAGCUGACUGGGCUGGAAAAAGGGCUGCAGAAAAAGGCACACAAGUGGAAACUUUUGUCAUAACUCCAGAAUGGAAAACAGUGUUGCCAGAUAAACCCCUAUAUGAUAAACAAGACUCAAAAUUAAUUGAGACCUUAAAAGCAGAAAAACAAGAAGAUGGAUGGGUGGUUACACCAUUGGGCCUAGUGGUAGUUCCCUACUCCCUCAUGAAUGAAUUAGUGAGAAAAGAACAUUACUCUGUUCAUUGGGGAACUGAGAAUUUGUUAAAACAUUUACAGAAAUUGAUUAUUAGUAAGAACAUGGUAGAAAGUGUAUGAUCCGUAACUGAAAGAUAUGAAGUGUGCUGUAAAAAUAAUCCCCAAACACAGAAUAGAAUUCAUUUCGGGCAAAUAACUGAGGGAAGAGCACCUGGUGAAUAUUGGCAAAUUGACUUUACUGAAUUACCCAGGACAAGAGGAUUGAAAUAUUUGUUAGUCUUUGUAGACAUAGAUACUGGGUGGCCUGAAGCCUUUCCAUGUCGCACCAAUAAAGCUCGAGAAGUUGUAAAAAUUUUAUUAAAAGAAAUAAUUCCUAGAUUCAGAAUACCUUUUGGGAUGUCAUCGGAUAGGGGUCCUCAUUUCAUAGCCAAAAUAAUUAUGGAAUUGGCUAAAAUGUUAAAUAUUACUUGGGACCCACAUACACCUUAUAGACCUCAAGCUAGUGGGAAAGUUGAGAGAAUGAAUUGUACUCUCAAAACACAAAUGAGUAACCUGUGUCAGGAAACUUCAAUGGAUUGGACACAAGUUUUACCCUUAGCUUUGUUAAGAAUCAGAAUACAACCUAGGGGCAGACAACGUUUGAGCCCCUGUGAAUUGUUAUAUGGAAGGCCAUAUCAGACUCCUGGACUACCAGGAGAGAUGAGAAUACAAGGAGAAAGUGAUGUAGGCAAUUAUUUAAUUGCUUUGGGAAAAACUCUGCAAGAAUUAAACAUGUAUGUGGAGUUGAAUAAACCUCUGAAUCUUGA